rnacentral:rRNA from 1 species
AUUGAACGCUGGCGGCAGGCUUAACACAUGCAAGUCGAGCGGCAGCAAGCCUUCGGGCGUUGGCGAGCGGCGGACGGGUGAGUAAUGCAUAGGAAUCUGCCUGGUAGUGGGGGAUAGCCCGGGGAAACUCGGAUUAAUACCGCAUACGCCCUACGGGGGAAAGGAGGGGAUCUUCGGACCUUUCGCUAUCAGAUGAGCCUAUGUCGGAUUAGCUAGUUGGUGAGGUAAAGGCUCACCAAGGCGACGAUCCGUAACUGGUCUGAGAGGAUGAUCAGUCACACUGGAACUGAGACACGGUCCAGACUCCUACGGGAGGCAGCAGUGGGGAAUAUUGGACAAUGGGGAACCCUGAUCCAGCCAUGCCGCGUGUGCGAUGAAAGGCCCUUGGGUUGUAAACCGCUGUCAGAGGGGAUGAAAUCUCCGAGGGUUCUCCCUCGGAGUUGACAGAGCCUCAAAGGAAGCACGGGCUAAGUACGUGCCAGCAG